AACAACAACAAAAGUAUAAAAUUUCUCAGUCUACUCUAAGGCAAUAUUAACAAUAAUGCAGUCAAGAGUGGGAACAAAGGACACACAUCUUACUUAUGAUGCCGUAGAGAUUGGAUUCUAAUUUGUCCUGUGAUGUUCCAGAUCUUUUAAAGUGACGUGCAUAAUAAAGUAUUUUACAUUUCUAGCUUCCAGUGAUUUUUGUGGAAGUCCUUGUCUUUACAUCAUCACAGAAGAUCCCCAAUUUUAUUUUUAUGCCUCUCUGGGGGCAAAGAACUGAAUUUCAGGAAAUGCUCUGUCUAGAAGAUACCACUCAUUUAAAAAGAAUUGAAAUCUGAAUUUGUUUUCAUAAUAAAUGUUCAGCAAUGCAGAGAAACUGCUUCUGACGAAGAAAGUAAAUAAAGACAAUAAAACACCA